rnacentral:rRNA from 1 species
GACGAACGCUGGCGGCGUGCUUAACACAUGCAAGUCGAACGGAAAGGCCCUGCUUUUGUGGGGUGCUCGAGUGGCGAACGGGUGAGUAACACGUGAGUAACCUGCCCUUGACUUUGGGAUAACUUCAGGAAACUGGGGCUAAUACCGGAUAGGAGCUCCUGCUGCAUGGUGGGGGUUGGAAAGUUUCGGCGGUUGGGGAUGGACUCGCGGCUUAUCAGCUUGUUGGUGGGGUAGUGGCUUACCAAGGCUUUGACGGGUAGCCGGCCUGAGAGGGUGACCGGCCACAUUGGGACUGAGAUACGGCCCAGACUCCUACGGGAGGCAGCAGUGGGGAAUAUUGCACAAUGGGCGGAAGGCUGAUGCAGCAACGCCGCGUGCGGGAUGACGGCCUUCGGGUUGUAAACCGCUUUCGCCUGUGACGAAGCGUGAGUGACGGUAAUGGGUAAAGAAGCACCGGCUAACUACGUG